rnacentral:rRNA from 1 species
AGAGUUUGAUCCUGGCUCAGAUUGAACGCUGGCGGCAUGCCUUACACAUGCAAGUCGAGCGGCAGCGCGGGGGCAACCCUGGCGGCGAGCGGCGGACGGGUGAGUAAUACAUCGGAACGUAUCCUUUCGUGGGGGAUAACCAGUCGAAAGACUGGCUAAUACCGCAUGAGAUCGAAAGAUGAAAGCGGGGGACCGCAAGGCCUCGCGCGAUUGGAGCGGCCGAUGUCGGAUUAGCUAGUUGGCGGGGUAAAAGCCCACCAAGGCGACGAUCCGUAGCUGGUUUGAGAGAACGACCAGCCACACUGGGACUGAGACACGGCCCAGACUCCUACGGGAGGCAGCAGUGGGGAAUUUUGGACAAUGGGGGCAACCCUGAUCCAGCCAUGCCGCGUGUGUGAAGAAGGCCUUCGGGUUGUAAAGCACUUUCGGCCGGAACGAAAUCGCGCGGGCUAUUACCCCGCGUGGAUGACGGUACCGAAGUAGAGCC